ensembl:lncRNA
UUGGGACUUUACUUAGGGGCAGUUGGACAGUAGUUAGCAGCUGUUGAGACAGUCGUUAGGGGCAGUUGGGACAGUAGUUUGGGGCAGUUGUGAAAGUAGUUUAGUGACAUUUGGCACAGUAGUUGGGGGCAGUUGGGACAGUAGAUAGCGACCGUUGGGACAGUAGUUAGGGGCAGAUGGGACAGUAGUUAGGGGCAGUUGAGACAGUAGUUAGUGGCAGUUGUGACAGUAGAGCGGUGGAGUUGGGACAGUACUUAGCGACAGUUAGGACAGUAGUUAGGGACAGUUGGGAUAGUAGGUAGGGGCAGUUGGGACAGUAGUUAGCGGCAGUUGGGACUGUAGUUAGGUACAAUUUGGACAGUACUUAGCGACAGAUGCGACAGUAGUUAGGGGCAGUUGGGACAGUAGUUUGCAGCAGUUGGGACAGUAGUUAGGGGCAGUUGGGAUAGUAGUUAGUGACAGUUGGGACAGUAGUUGGGGCAGUUGGGACAGUAGUUUGUGGCAGUAGGGGCAGUUGAGACACUAGUUAGGGCAGUUGUGGCAGUAGUUAGGGGCAGUAGUUAGUGGCAGUUAGGACUGUAGUUUGCGGCAGUUGGGACAGUAGUUAGCGGCAGAUGGGACAGUAGUUAGGGGCAGCUGGGAUAGUAGUUAGGUGGAGUCGGGACAGUACUUAGCGACAGUUUUGACAGUAGUUAGGGGCAGUUGGGACAUUAGUUAGCGGCAGUUGGGACAGUAGUUAGGUGCAGUUGAGACAGUAGUUAGCGGCAGAUGGGACAGAUGUUAGUGGCAGUUGAGAUAGUAGUUAGGUGUAGUUGGGACAGUACGUAGCAACAGUUGGGACAGUAGUUAGGGGCAGUUGGGACUUCAGUUUGAAGCAGUUGGGAAAGUAGUUUGCGGGAGUUGGGCCAGUAGUUAGCGGCAGAUGGAACAGUAGUUAGCGGCAGUUGGGACAGUGGGUAGGUGCAGUUGGGACAGUACUUUGCAACAGUUGGGACAGUAGUGAGUUGUAGUUGGGACAGUACUUAGCAACAGUUGGGACAGUAGUUUGAAGCCUUUGGGAAAGUAGUUUGCGCGAGUUGGGCCAGUUGUUUGCAGCAGAUGGGACAGUAGUUAGCGGCAGUUGGGACAGUGGGUAGGUGCAAUUGGGACAGUACUUUGCGACACUUGGGACAGUAGUUAGGGGCAGUUGGCACAGUAGUUAGGGGCAGUUGGGACAGUAGUUAGCGACAGAUGGGACAGUAGUUAGCGAUAGAUGGAACAGUAGUUAGGGACAGUUGGGACAGUAGUUAUUGACAGUUGGGACAGUAGUUAGGGGCAGUUGCGACAGUAGUUAGCGACAGUUAGGACAGUAGUUAGGUUCAGUUGGAAAGUAGUUAAGGGCAGCUGGGACAGUAGUUAGCAGCAUUUGGGACUGUAGUUAGGGGCAGUUGGGACAGUACUUUGCAGCAGUUGGGACAGUAGUUUUCGGGAGUUGGGACAGUAGUUUGCAGCAGUUGGGACACUAGUUAGUGGCAGUUGGGACAGUAGUUAUGGACAGUUCGGACAGUAGUAAGCCUCAGUUGGGACAGUAGUUAUCGACAGUUGCGGCAGUUGGGGUUGUAGUUAGCGACAGUUGGGACAGUAAUUAGGGAAAGUUUGGACAGUAGUAAGCCUCAGUUGGGACUGUAGUUAGGGGCAGUUGGAACAGUAGUUAGUGACAGUUUGACAGUAGUUAGGGGCAUUUGAGACAGUAGUUACCGGCAGAUGGGAAAGUAGUUAGUGCAGUUGGACAGUAGUUGGGACAGUAGUUAGCGACAGUUGAGACUGUACUAAGCGGUAGUUGGGACUGUAGUUAGGGGCAGUUGGAACAGUAGUUAGUGACAGUUUGACAGUAGUUAGGGGCAUUUGAGGCAGUAGUUGGUCAGUUGGAACAGUAGUUAGCAACAUUUAGGACAGCAGUUAGGGGCAGUUGGUGCUGUAGUUAGGGGCAGUUGGAACAGUAGUUAUUUACAUUGAGACAGUAGUUAGUGGCAGUUGGGACAGUAGUUAGUGACAGUUUUGACAGUUGUUAGGGGCACUAGCGACAGUAGUUGGGGAAUUUGAGACAGUAGUUAG